rnacentral:rRNA from 1 species
UACGUAGGGUGCAAGCGUUGUCCGGAAUUAUUGGGCGUAAAGAGCUCGUAGGCGGCUUGUCACGUCGGGUGUGAAAGCCCGGGGCUUAACCCCGGGUCUGCAUUCGAUACGGGCUAGCUAGAGUGUGGUAGGGGAGAUGGAAUUCCUGGUGUAGCGGUGAAAUGCGCAGAUAUCAGGAGGAACACCGGUGGCGAAGGCGGAUCUCUGGGCCAUUACUGACGCUGAGGAGCGAAAGCGUGGGGAGCGAACAGG